UACAGAGGUCCCGAGCGUUGUUCGGAUUCAUUGGGCGUAAAGGGUGCGUAGGCGGUAGAGUAAGUCUGGUGUGAAAUCCUGGAGCUCAACUCCAGAAUUGCACUGGAUACUGCUCUGCUAGAGGACUGGAGAGGAGAUUGGAAUUCACGGUGUAGCAGUGAAAUGCGUAGAUAUCGUGAGGAAGACCAGUGGCGAAGGCGAAUCUCUGGACAGUUCCUGACGCUGAGGCACGAAGGCUAGGGGAGCAAACGGG
rnacentral:rRNA from 1 species